UCAAGUAAUUAAGUGCAUGUGGUGGAUGCUUGGCAGUCAGAGGCGAUGAAAGACGUGAUAGCCUGCGAAAAGCUCCGGGGAGGCGGCAAAUAUCCUUUGAUCCGGAGAUGUCUGAAUGGGGGAACCCACCUACUUUAAGGUAGGUAUUGCAACAUGAAUACAUAGUGUUGCAAGGCGAACGAGGGGAAGUGAAACAUCUCAGUACCCUUAGGAAAAGAAAUCAAUUGAGAUUCCCUCAGUAGCGGCGAGCGAACGGGGAUCAGCCCAUUAAGUUAUGUGUGUUUUAGUGGAACGCUCUGGGAAGUGCGAACGUAGAGGGUGAUAUUCCCGUACACGAAAGGGCACACAUAAUGAUGACGAGUAGGGCGAGGCACGUGAAACCUUGUCUGAAUAUGGGGGGACCAUCCUCCAAGGCUAAAUACUCCUGACUGACCGAUAGUGAACCAGUACCGUGAGGGAAAGGCGAAAAGAACCCCUGUGAGGGGAGUGAAAUAGAUCCUGAAACCGCAUGCAUACAAGCAGUGGGAGCACCUUUGUGGUGUGACUGCGUACCUUUUGUAUAAUGGGUCAGCGACUUAUAUUCAGUAGCGAGGUUAACCGUAUAGGGGAGCCGUAGAGAAAUCGAGUCUUAAUAGGGCGUUUAGUUGCUGGGUAUAGACCCGAAACCAGGCGAUCUAUCCAUGAGCAGGUUGAAGGUUGGGUAACACUAACUGGAGGACCGAACCCACUGUCGUUGAAAAGCCAGGGGAUGACUUGUGGAUAGGGGUGAAAGGCUAAUCAAGCCUGGUGAUAGCUGGUUCUCCCCGAAAGCUAUUUAGGUAGCGCCUCGGACGAAUACCAUAGGGGGUAGAGCACUGUUUCGGCUAGGGGGUCAUCCCGACUUACCAAACCGAUGCAAACUCCGAAUACCUAUGAGUACUAUCCGGGAGACAGACUGCGGGUGCUAACGUCCGUAGUCAAGAGGAAAACAAUCCAGACCGCCAGCUAAGGCCCCAAAAUCAUAGUUAAGUGGGAAACGAUGUGGGAAGGCAUAGACAGCUAGGAGGUUGGCUUAGAAGCAGCCACCCUUUAAAGAAAGCGUAAUAGCUCACUAGUCGAGUCGGCCUGCGCGGAAGAUGUAACGGGGCUAAAACUAUGUGCCGAAGCUGCGGAUGUAUACUUUGUAUACGUGGUAGGGGAGCGUUCUGUAAGCCGAUGAAGGUGUGUUGAGAAGCAUGCUGGAGGUAUCAGAAGUGCGAAUGCUGACGUGAGUAACGACAAAACGGGUGAAAAACCCGUUCGCCGAAAGACCAAGGGUUCCAGUCCAACGUUAAUCGGGGCUGGGUGAGUCGACCCCUAAGGCGAGGCCGAAAGGCGUAGUCGAUGGGAAAAUGGUUAAUAUUCCAUUACUUCUGUGUAAUGCGAUGAGAGGACGGAGAAGGCUAAAUCAGCCUGGCGUUGGUUGUCCAGGUGAAAGGAUGUAGGCAUGUAUCUUAGGCAAAUCCGGGGUACUCUAUGCUGAGAUCUGAUAGCAAGCUGUACUUGUACAGCGAAGUGGUUGAUGCCAUGCUUCCAGGAAAAGUCUCUAAGCUUCAGUUACACAGGAAUCGUACCCGAAACCGACACAGGUGGUCAGGUCGAGUAGACCAAGGCGCUUGAGAGAACUCUGCUGAAGGAACUAGGCAAAAUGGUACCGUAACUUCGGGAGAAGGUACGCUGUUGUUGGUGAUGGAACUCGCUUCCUGAGCUGACGACAGCCGCAGAAACCAGGCCGCUGCAACUGUUUAUUAAAAACAUAGCACUCUGCAAACACGAAAGUGGACGUAUAGGGUGUGAUGCCUGCCCGGUGCUGGAAGGUUAAUUGAUGGGGUUAGCGUAAGCGAAGCUCUUGAUCGAAGCCCCAGUAAACGGCGGCCGUAACUAUAACGGUCCUAAGGUAGCGAAAUUCCUUGUCGGGUAAGUUCCGACCUGCACGAAUGGCAUAAUGAUGGCGGCGCUGUCUCCAGCAGAGGCUCAGUGAAAUCGAAAUCGCUGUGAAGAUGCAGUGUACCCGCGGCUAGACGGAAAGACCCCGUGAACCUUUACUGCAGCUUGACACUGAACUUUGACCUUACUUGUGUAGGAUAGGUGGGAGGCUUUGAAGCUGGAACGCUAGUUCCAGUGGAGCCGUCCUUGAAAUACCACCCUGGUAAUGUUGAGGUUCUAACUCUGUCCCGUGAUCCGGGACGAGGACCGUGUCUGGUGGGUAGUUUGACUGGGGCGGUCUCCUCCUAAAGAGUAACGGAGGAGUACGAAGGUGCGCUCAGCGUGGUCGGAAAUCACGCGUAGAGUAUAAAGGCAAAAGCGCGCUUAACUGCGAGACCCACAAGUCGAGCAGGUACGAAAGUAGGUCUUAGUGAUCCGGUGGUUCUGUAUGGAAGGGCCAUCGCUCAACGGAUAAAAGGUACUCUGGGGAUAACAGGCUGAUACCGCCCAAGAGUUCAUAUCGACGGCGGUGUUUGGCACCUCGAUGUCGGCUCAUCUCAUCCUGGGGCUGAAGCAGGUCCCAAGGGUAUGGCUGUUCGCCAUUUAAAGAGGUACGCGAGCUGGGUUUAGAACGUCGUGAGACAGUUCGGUCCCUAUCUACCGUGGGCGCUGGAAAUUUGAGAGGAUCUGCUCCUAGUACGAGAGGACCAGAGUGGACGAACCUCUGGUGUACCGGUUGUGACGCCAGUCGCAUCGCCGGGUAGCUAUGUUCGGAAGGGAUAACCGCUGAAAGCAUCUAAGCGGGAAGCCUACCUCAAGAUAAGAUUUCCCUAGGACUUUAUGUCCUCUAAAGAGCCGUUCGAGACUAGGACGUUGAUAGGUUGGAUGUGGAAGCAUAGUGAUAUGUGAAGCUGACCAAUACUAAUUGCUCGUGAGGCUUGACUAU
rnacentral:rRNA from 1 species